UGCCCCAUGGCUUAGUUGGUCAAAGCGUCCGACUGUUAGCUUGCUUGUAUGAGCAUAGCCGCAAUCGGAAGGUCAUGAGUUCAACCCUCAUUGGGGCAG
rfam:Phlebia centrifuga strain FBCC195 PHLCENscaffold_2410, whole genome shotgun sequence.